GUGGGAGAUAAAGUAUACAUACUUACAAGACAUUUAUUACAUAGUCAAACAAUGGAUCCAGAGAAACAAGUCAAUAAGUCAAAUCAAGAUGUGCAUGUGUGGUGAAUGAAUGGUGUAUGGUGAUGAUGGUGAUAACAAUGGUGAAAGUCUAAUUCUACUUUUGCUCUUUUGAGCGGAUACACACCUUCCUUGCACUUUGAAGCAUUUUGGGGAGAAUGAGAUGCUCUAUAUAUUUUUUUUUCUUUUCUCUCAGGUGGGUAUCUUGUACCCCUAAUUCUACUGUCGGACACUUGUCCAUUUUUACCUCUCGUCUCACUUUUUUCUUUUCUUCGAGGUUCCGGGCACUUGCUGUUGACACUAGCUAACACCACUUAGAUACUAGGUUGUCAUCCCUAGCAUGGCGCUAGAGUGUACAAAGGUAUUUAUAAAUGUAAAGGCUCUCUAGAAAAUAAUCUAUUCUAUCCGCAAGCGCACAGAUAAAACACCUCAUUGUAGCAUUUCACCAGGAUAAGUAUUCCAGGUAUCGUUAUUUAUAAUUUUGCUCUAGGGAUCUAAAGAAGAUGGAAUUAAAACAAAGGGGCAAAAUCUAUCAAGGCAUAGACUAGAGAUAAACUUGCAAGAACAUGAUUACUAAUGAGAAACUCGUCACACAGUCACUUACUUUAGCAGGGGGUAAACCAUAAAGAUAAUGAUAAUAAAGUAUAAGUUCAUGGGAUAAAGAGCACAGCGAUUAGAAAAUAGACUACUCCUCAUAUAUGUAGGUGAUGUCGGAUUAGCUAGAGAAUGGAUUCUAAGUUAUCUACUAACUACUAAGUCAUAAUCUACUCUAGUUAUCUACAAGAUCAUAUAUAGCAUAAAAGACUCUUCAUUCAUGUAUAAGGAACAUUGAUAAAGUAAAGCAGAACAUCGCAUGACUUACUCCACAAUACCGGUUCUGCCUGUCCUAUCAACGGAGGGUGGACUAUAUAAGAAUCAACGAAGCUGUCACUAUCGCGAACUACCACACGACUCGGCCAAUAGGAUACAUUUGCAGAUAAAUAACAUCUAAGCACCACGCUCACAUGUGAUCUAUCACCUAACUCCCUCGCGUCAAGAGCUAAGCGCUUUGCAAACUUAUACAUAAACUCAUUAUCAAUUAGAACUAUAUCAAAUAUAGAACUAGAGCAAACUAAGAACAUAAUAAUUAGAGACAUAAUGCAAUUAGAACAAUAGAAUUAGAGAAAGAUAUGAAUAAUACCAAUCUUUAUUACCGAAGAUCCGAAUCCAGAGCGUAGUGCUCUACUUCUCUAAAUGCUAUCUAAUCAACCUCUAAACUUGAAGGAUUAGGGAGUAUCUAAUUCUAAUUCUCUGUGGGAGAGAAGCUCUAAACCCUAACUUUGAUGGCUACCUCUGAAUAAUGAUUUCUCCUCCUCUCCUCCAGGGGCCAGGGGGUCUGGUUUUAUAGUCCCCUCAAGUGAACGUGAGCCAUUGGAUCAAACCGACAUAGAUUGUAUGGUUUAGAUUGAUCCUUUAGGUCGGUGGAGUCUUGCCCCGAAGCAGAGUCCUGAUUGGCCUCUUGGCCAGGGCGGGCGCCCAAGGGGGGUGGGCGGCCGCCCAGCUCCCGAGCCCGAUUCGCGUCCCGUUCGUUCCCGUGGCUUCUGGAUCCUUCUAGAUUGAGGAAAAUUGCGCGGCACGUAAUUAUCUCGUUGUAAACAUGACAUGUGGACCUUCUCUCCAUAUUUUCUGAUAAACCCCUGCAGAAAUAGAUAAACACCAAAGCUCGUGGAAUUCUGUCAGAUAAAACCCUAAUUCUAGAUGUUUGUUUCAUAUUGAUCCUUUUUCAUGUUUAUUUGAUUAUUAAUUUUAGUACUUAAGGACCGUCAACAAACUCCCCCAAGCUUACCCUUUGCUCGUCCCUGAGCAAAUAGCUGAACUUAGACGGAUCAGGAGUUGCUUCAAUGUUUUCUUUCCUGAGAGGCACACAUGCUUUUACAUAAAAAUUCUUCCAGAUUAGAGUGAAGUGUUAUGGAGUUUAGUACCUGCGAUCCUUGUUCAUGUUUAUUUGAUUAUUAAUUUUAGUACUUAAGGACCGUCAACAAACUCCCCCAAGCUUACCCUUUGCUCGUCCCUGAGCAAAUAGCUGAACUUAGACGGAUCAGGAGUUGCUUCAAUGUUUUCUUUCCUGAGAGGCACACAUGCUUUUACAUAAAAAUUCUUCCAGAUUAGAGUGAAGUGUUAUGGAGUUUAGUACCUGCACUUAAAUCUUAAGUAAUCAAAAGACAAAAUAGUUAAGUCAAGCACUAUCCCUCUUGUCUAUACUUCACCUUUGUUCUAGAGUUUUUCAUAAGUUUUCAAAAUAAAACUCAGAGUUCCCAGCAAUGAUCUCUCAAGUCUCUCUAUAUGUGGUAUUUGUGGAUCCUUACCAUAAUGUCACUUACCUAUAGCUAAUAGAAUAUUUAAGUGGAGCUCAUAGGAGUGGAAAACAGCUCAUACAUAUGUUGUCUAAUCGAUCCAUGGAUCCAAAGGAACUCAGCAUAUAAUUAAAUCAAGAUGUGCAUGUGUGGUGGAGUAAAUGAUAGUGAAAAUGCAUAAGUGAUAAUAAAACUUAGUUCUCAUUGCUCCUUAUAUUGCUAUCUCUCCUUCUCUUUGAUCUUUGCCUUGGGAGAACAUGGGUUAUCUUUUUCUUUUCUUUUCUCUUUCUUUUUUUUUCAGGUGGGUAGUAGAUACCCCUAAUUCUACUGUCGGACACUUGUCCAUUUUUUCCGCUCAAGUGGGCAUCUUUGUACCCCUAAUUCUACUUCGGACACUUGUCCAUUUUUACCUCUCGUCUCACUCUUUUUCUUUCUUUUCCGAGGUUUUCGGGCACUUGCCCCUUUUUAUUUCCUCGUAUAUUUUUGCAUAACCCAUGCCUCUUCUGCAUUGAAUCUUUUUAGAGAGAGAGAGAAUAACAAUACUUGGGAUAGUGAGUGAUAAUAUUUUUAGCAAUUUUAAUGAAUGGUGGUGGAUGCUGUGGUAGAUGUGUGCAAGUGAAUAUCUUAAUUUAACCACAUAAAAAGCUCCUAAGGGUCGACACAGCUCGAUCAAACUCAAUGUAAAUAUAGUAAAAGAUGUUAUAGCAAGUAUGGCUGUGGUAGGUAAUUUUGUUAUGCUAGGAACUCAUCAUGUGAUUUGUAAGUUUUCAAAAUAAAUCUCCAGAACUUGGUGUAGUAGGAACAAGAUAAAGAGUAGCUCAACUUUAUAUCAUGCCUUUCUCUUACCUAGACUUUAGUUUUAUGCUUCCCAAAGAUAGUAAAUUCAGUUUUAGUAAUUCCUGGAAGAACUCUAAUGUAAAAGCUAGGUACUUGUAAGUAAGCAAAUAGAGCAACUGUUCAUCAUUUCUAUCAUGCAUCUUUUUGGUCUUUUUUUGUUUUUUCUAGAGAUUAAACUUAGCAAGAAAAUAAAGCACACUUAUCUACACACUCUUUUUAUUUUGUUUUCAUGUUUAUAAAGUGCAGUAAAUUAAAGUAAGAAAAUAUUUAUUUGGUUUUCUAAGUUUUCCUUUUAAGAUAAAUAAAAUACUAAGACAGAAUAGAAUAAAUAAGAAGAGCAAAUAAAAACUUACUUGAUAAAUUAGGGAGGAACUCCCCCAAGCUGGAUGUUGACGUGGGUCUUACCCGAUGUUCCAGAACCGCAUCAUGGUUGUGAUGUUAUCGUUCAUUGUUGUUGUAUCUUUUCUCAGCUCUUGUACCGUAGCGGCAUGGUCCUGGUUCCAUUUUUGUUGCUCUUCCAGGAGUCUUCCAUGUUCUGCUUGCGUGUUCUGGAUGAAGAGGAGGGUGUUGUCGGUACGAGUGAAGAAAGCACCGGCCUCUUGAUAGUAGUCAUUCGUGAAGGCGUAGGAGGCGUCGGAGUAUCGUCCUGCAUCAAAUUGGGGCGGAGGUCUGGAUCCUGAGGCUCCAUAUGGAUCAGUGGAGUACCUGCCCGUAUGAAAAGGCGGGUUUGUCCACUGGUGAUCUUGGCUCUCCGGCCAUGUCUCCUCUGUUGGCUCCUGUGGUUGCGCAUGCCGAACCCAUGGGUCUCGAAGGACUCGAGGGUUGUAAUCGCAAUAAUGCAGGUGCGCUGCUUCUUCUGGUCCAGGGUCAGCUCCAUACCAAGUGCGUUCUCAGUGAGUGGUUAUCCUCUUAGAUGCCACUUGCUGUGGAGUUCUCUGGUUCACUGGUGUUGCUGCAAUCUCAAUCAAAAAGUUUUGAACAACGUAGAGGCCAAGGUUCGGGUUAGAUAACCGAAUCUUGCCUUUAUCAUCAUACAGCAUAUACAUUAUAUUCCCCUCUUUCUUUAACAUCCGAGCUUGUCUAAAUGUGUCAUAGCCAUGAUAAAUUCUUAAUUCUUCUAUGAAGUCCAACGAUGAGUUUUCUAGUAAGUGAAGAUUAGUGGCUAGACGAGUGAUAAGUGAAGUACAUCCUACUGGUCCCUGAAGACUAGGUAUACUAAGCCAAUGUGAAACUAAUAGUGUAACAGGUGAAGUAGGUAUUUUACUAAUAGUAGCAUAUAAAAGUUGUAAAUCUCCUACUCUUACUUUCCUAAUAUCAUCGCGAUAGAAAAGAUUGUACCCAAGCCAUUUGUGGAACAUCCUAAGAGUGGGGUGUUCCAUGUCACUGGUUCGGGCUUGACUGUAAAAAUUAUCUCUAGAUAUUUCUCUCCAAAACUGGUGUCUCUCAAAAUUAUUGGGUAAAUCAGAGUCAAUGUUCAGGAUGCAUCUUGAAGAGAAACCAAGAUGGUCGCUCAGCUCUCUCCAAGAUAACAUAAUUUCCUGUUUAAACAUCCGAAAAACAAUUCCCCCCUCAUAGUAUUGUAAAGUGCAAAGAAAUUCGAGGGUGAGAAGACGAGAACCCAGCUCAGUUAUAUUCCAAAAAUUUGUCCAACCCAUCAUCUGAAAAAUUAAGUCAAAUUCAGUGUCCAUACCUGUUUCUCGUAGUAGGAUUGGAUCGAUAGUAGGGGUGUGAAUGAAAUCCUUGUUCUUCAAUUGCUGAUAAACUUCCUUCUCUCUUCAGGUCUUCAGUCCAAGGUCUCCUAUCUUGAGAAGGACCUUGACUUGCUGGCCUGAUGAAGAUGAUGGAGCUUGUGUGGGUGUCGGGUCGACGCUCAUCUCUGAUGGCUGUGAGGAGUGUCGGGUUGAACUCCUUGUACCAAUGUUCUUGAGAGCCUUCCCUGCAUUCUUCACCUUCUUAAACAUCCUGCAAACAAAAGUUGGCAAAAACACAACUGGUGGAAAAUGUGAGAGAAAAUGUUAGUGGUCAGCUGUCCGAGUGUCAGUAGUCCAGGGGUUAAUCGUUCAAGACAAGUUUCUAUUUUGGUAGAGCCUCCCCCUAAACAACUUUUACUUCCGCUUGGACAACGGGAUCACUACUUGCUAGGUGACAAUCACUCUCUCAAAAGAACUCCAACCUUCCUUCCACUCUCCUCUUUCUCUCUACUCUCUUCUCUUCACUACAAGAACUCCUUCUCGGGAAACUGAAACUUGUGUGGUUUUCUGGAGUGUUUGUGUGAAGAGAAGGGGAGCUGGAGGUGGCCUUUUAUAGGCUGAGCAGGGGACAGGGCGGGCGCCCUUGGUAGGUGGGCGGGCGCCCACUCCUGGUGUCCAUCCUAGGUGUGCCUCCUCCACAUGCUUCCUUGCUUUGAUCUCACGCAGAAUAAUAUUGUGUUGGUAGUGGUUGGACGGUGGAAAGAUGUCAGGUGAGUGGAAACAUAUUGGUGGAUGAAAUUAUGUGAUGGGAUGUAUGUGAGAUGAAGUGUAUGACAUGUGGGACCCAAAGAGUGUGGGUCAUGCUUCUAGAAGAUAAAUAUGAUUAAAUAUAAUGCAGGAAAAUCUAUGAGAAUCGAAAUUUAUUGAAAAUGAUAUUGAAAAAUAUUUUUGUGCCUCCAUAAUAAUUAAUAAUAUGGGUUGUUACACACCACGAAUAUUAUUUAUAUGGGGCUUUUUGAUUAUUAUAAUUAUGCUAUGACUAAUGCAAGAAUUAAUUAUGCAAGAAUUUAAAUAUGAGAAAAUUAAUAAUGCGGAUAAUUACCGAUUUACCUCCCGGUGAGGGUUUGGGAUUUUUAGGUCCCCCAAGCUGGACCUCCAAAUCUUUUAAUCUUUUGAGUUACCUUCCUCCGGAGAUGGUGUCUCCGGUGGUUCUUCAUGAACUUCUUUCACUGUAGAGUCUCUCUCUGGUCUGGGUUUGAAUGUGAAGUGUUCUUCUUGACCGUUUAUGUUGAACUUAAUUUCUCCCUUCCCGACAUCAAUGUGGGCAUUGGCAGUGCUAAGAAAUGGCCUUCCAAGGAUGAUGGAUAAUUUUGAGUCAGGACUCAUGUCCAGUACUACGAAGUCUACUGGCACAAGGAAAUCUCUGAUCUUGACUGGAAUGUUCUUGGCGAUGCCCAACGGGUGUCGAACCGAUUGAUCCGCUAGUUGUAGACACAUUGAUGUUGGUUCUAAGGCUGCAUGAUCAAGCUUUUUGUAGACUGAUGCUGGCAUCACACUGACACUUGCUCCUAGAUCACAAAGUGCAUUGUUGAAGUGUUGGUUUCCGAUCGAGCAAUCAAUAGUGGGGCAUCCUGGAUCUUCCUUCUUCUUUGGUGGUUUGUUGAGGAUGGCCGCACUACAUUCUUCUGUCAGCUUGAUAACCUCAGUGGUGGGCAGUGGCCUCUUCUUGUUAAGAAUAUCUCUGAUGUACUUUGCAUAUGUAGGUACCUGUAUGGCAUCGAGCAGAGGUAUGUUGACAUAUAAUUUCUGAAUGACCUCUACAAACUUACCAAACUGCUCAUCCGACUGCAGUCCUCUGUUUCUUCUGGGAAAUGGCAAAUAGUUGGUGUCGUAUAAAUCUUUCCUCAUUUCUCCAGUUCUUGGUGGUUGUAGCAGAUCUUCUGCUUCAACUGGGCUUUCUUCUUCUAUCACUGCUGGUUGCACUGGUGCUGAUGUUCUUUGUUUCUCUUUUGGGUAUGGUGGAUCUCUGGUAGCUUUACCUCCUCUAGUAGUUAUAUUCUUUACCUGCUCAAGGUUAGUAGCAACAGGCAGUGCAGCAGCUAUCUUUAUUAAUUUAAGCUCUACCCUUUUAUUAAGAGUGUUUUGCUCAUCAAAGGCAGUUAGUAGAAAAUCCAUUUUAUUAUAUAUAUCUUUUAGAGAUGAUUCAUUUGUAUCUAGCCUUUGUUUAACUUCAUCAUUAAUUUUGGUUUGUUGAGCAAUUAUCUCUUUUAAUGAAAGUUGCUUGAAAGUAUUACCUGAAUUCAUACCUUUGCUAUUGGGUUGACUCGAAGUUGGUUGAUAUUUGUAUGCUGUCUCAAUGGCCCUGUGAUCUUCUUUGAACUUGGCCCUCUGGUCAAUCCAAUGGAGCAAAUUUUCCAUCUUAGUUGAUAAUGCAUUUACUUCUUCUGGUAUUUCUUCAGUUUGAUGACAUUGUUGAGCUUUAUCUUGGAACCAGCUUUGAUUUUCUGCUAUCUUAUCCAAAAGUAUCUCUGCUUUUCCAGUUGUAAGCUCCAAGAAUGAUCCUUUAGCAGAUGCAUCUAGGCACUCACGAGUCUUCUGGGUUAAUCCAUGGUAGAAGGUCUGCAUAAGUUACCAUGUGGCCAUUCCAUGGUGAGGACAAUCUGAUAUGUAUCCCUGAAAACGCUCCCAUGCUUCUGAAAUGGCUUCUGUCUUCUGCUGUUGGAAACUGACAAUAUUUCCUCUUAAGGCAGUUGUUUUGCCUAUAGGGAAAAACUUUGAUAGAAAGACAUCUGACAAGUUCGUCCAGUUGUUGAUGUUAUCUUGAUGAGUGUAGAACCACUUCCUCGCUUUUCCUUCUAGUGAGAAUGGAAAAAGGCGAAGCAGUAUGACGUCUUUGUCAACUCCAUUGAUGUGGAUUGUGCUUCCAAUCUCUAAGAAAUUCUGCAAGUGUGCACUGGCAUCUUCAUGUGCCUUUCCACUGAAUUGUGUAGCUUGUACCAAAUUGAUGAGGCUUGACUUGAGCUCAAACUCAGGUAUUCCUUCUUCUACUGCAAAUCUUGGACCGGUUGGAAUGUUGUCAAGACUUGGAGCAGAGAAUUCUUGCAAGGUCUUUUGUGCCAUAGCUUCAGCAAUUGGUAGCUAGCUUCUUCUUCUCUUGAUUGCUUUGGUUCUGAUGAUGAAAAGUUGAAUGUACCCAAAGUCAAUCCUGUUAUACCCUGUAUAAAAAUAUAAACAUAGAAAAACAACAGGGUGAACCUGCCAAAGUAGCGGUGCCUUGUUAUGAUUUCUCACUUAGUAGCUGUUUUUAUGCAAUUAUUUCUCUAUAGUCUAGUCUAAUAUUUUAUAUGAAUAACCUUGAUUGAUUUUCUGGCUUCCUUAAUAUUACCCUUUUGUUCCCUUUUAUGACUUAUUCCUGAGACUCGUAUGACUUCUAUAAUGAUCCCCGGCAACGGCGCCAGAAAUGCUUGUUGACACUAGCUAACACCACUUAGAUACUAGGUUGUCAUCCCUAGCAUGGCGCCAGAGUGUACAAAGGUAUUUAUAAAUGUAAAGGCUCUCUAGAAAAUAAUCUAUUCUAUCCGCAAGCACACAGAUAAAACACCUCAUUGUAGCAUUUCACCAGGAUAAGUAUUUCAGGUAUCGUUAUUUAUAAUUUUGCUCUAGGGAUCUAAAGAAGAUGGAAUUAAAACAAAGGGGCAAAAUCUAUCAAGGCAUAGACUAGAGAUAAACUUGCAAGAACAUGAUUACUAAUGAGAAACUCGUCACACAGUCACUUACUUUAGC
rnacentral:lncRNA from 1 species